AAUUUUAGCACGUUUAGAUAACCUUUUUAUUCAUUACUGUAAAUUUCCAUAUCCUAUAAACUGAAACAUUUUUAAAACAGGAUAGAAGUCAUAUUACAACAACCUUUCCUCUAUUUCAUGCUUCGGGAUUAGUCUCUGCAGCAGUAUGUAGCUCCUCUUAUAUAGGAAUCAUACAUCUGUAGCACCAUUUUCGUACCCUCUCGAUU
rnacentral:lncRNA from 1 species